rnacentral:rRNA from 1 species
GGCGACCGGCGCACGGGUGCGUAACGCGUAUGUAACCUACCUAUAACAGGGGCAUAACACUGAGAAAUUGGUACUAAUUCCCCAUAAUAUUCGGAGAGGCAUCUCUCCGGGUUGAAAACUCCGGUGGUUAUAGAUGGACAUGCGUUGUAUUAGCUAGUUGGUGAGGUAACGGCUCACCAAGGCAACGAUACAUAGGGGGACUGAGAGGUUAACCCCCCCACACUGGUACUGAGACACGGACCAGACUCCUACGGGAGGCAGCAUG